AGAGAUGUGUGAUGACGCAUAUCAAUAAGCGGAGGAAAAGGAACUAACAAGGAUUCCCUUAGUAACGGCGAGUGAAGCGGGAAGAGCUCAAAUUUGAAAUCUUCAAGGUUUUACCUUGACGAAUUGUAGUUUAAAGAAGUGUUUUCUGUUAGAGGAGGUGGUAAAAGUUCUUUGGAAUAGGACAUCAUAGAGGGUGAGAAUCCCGUAUUUGGAUCACUUUCUACUAGCUUUGUGAUACACUUUCAAAGAGUCGGAUUGUUUGGGAAUGCAGUCCAAAAUGGGUGGUAAAUUUCAUCUAAAGCUAAAUAUUGGCGAGAGACCGAUAGCGAACAAGUACCGUGAGGGAAAGAUGAAAAGAACUUUGAAAAGAGAGUUAAACAGUACGUGAAAUUGUCAAAAGGGAAGCGUUUGACACCAGUGUUGUUUUUCCGAAAAUCAAUUAUGAAUGGCUUGAUUUUAAGUUUCAUGACCUUAAAAGCUUGUUUCUUAUUUUUCAUGUCUUUCGUAAUGCACUUUUCGGUUAACAAGUCAACAUCAAUUUCUUUUGUUGUAAAAGGUUAAGAGGAAGGUGGCUUUACUUUCGGGUAAAGUGUUUAUAGCCUUUUAACUCUGCAAUCGGAGAGAUUGAGGUCUGCAGCGUAGAUCCUUCGGGGUUAGAUACAUUUGUGCUAAGUUAUAGCCUUUCAUAGACAACUUGUUGACUAUGUUAAGUCUUGUAAUUUACUCGCAGAUGCUAUUUUACCUACGCUUAGGAUGUUGACGAUCAGCUGAGCGCG
rnacentral:rRNA from 1 species